UCGGAUAUCUCUAGAAGCUCAUACAAUGCCAACGUCCCAGACAUGGUCUUACGUGUAAUCAAAUAUCGAUGUCACUGUCCCAGACAUGGUCUUACACGUAAAUCACUAAUCGAUGCCAAUAUCCCAGACUCGGUCUUACACGAAAUCACGUAUAUCGCUGCCAACGUCCCAGAUGUGGUCUUACACGAAAAUCACUAAUCGAUGCCAAUAUCCCAGAUGCGGUCUUACACGAAAUAACGUAUAUCGCUGCCAACGUCCCAGACGUGGUCUUACACGAAAAUCACAUAUAUCGCUCUUUGAUACUAAUAAUUCACCUUAAAAAUCAAUUCACAUGCGAGAACAUAAUACGUACCUGACUAUCAUAAUGUAUCAUACAUAAUCAAUAGUAGUUUACCUCGAACUUUCGAAUUCAUAAGCUUACUUGAAUCACCGGCGUUAAGCCUGCUAGGUUUAGAACCCGAAUCCAGUCACCAGCACAAAACCUGCGGGACUUUAAGCUCGAAUAUAAUACCAGCACUAAGCCUGC
rnacentral:lncRNA from 1 species